AUGAGUAGGCCUGAUGGCAUCAACAUCCUUGAUGACAAGUUCUACCUAGGAGAUGCUGGCUAUGCAUGUCGGCCAGGUGUUCUUCCACCCUUCAGGAAAAUCGGGUACCAUCUGAAUGAGUUCUCUGGUAGAAACUAUCCUAGGACUUAGGAACUAUUCAAUCUCAGAAACUCCAGCCUUAAAGUUACGGUUGAAAGGGCAUUUGGAUCUCUGAAGAAUAGGUUUAAGAUUCUGAAUCAGAAGCCAUUCCACCCUUACCCUACCUAGGUUAAGUUUAUUCUUGCAUGUUGCAUCCUUCAUAACUGGAUCGUACCAUGGGGUUAUGAUGGCCUUGUGCUGGAUUUUAUUGAACCGCAAACCAUGGAACAAUUGCUCUACGACAUUUUAUCAUCCAAUCAUGAGGUUGGAUUUACUUCACGUACAUAUAUCAUGGAAAUAUAUGUUGUGAUGAAUCUAGUGAACUUAAUUUGGUGUAGUAUAUGCUGGCAUAUUUUUCUAAACCAGCACCCUAACAUUACAAACAAGGACAAAAUUUUAACAAGUCCGGACGAAUUUUUGCUAGAAAUUUUGGCAACAUAA
rnacentral:rRNA from 1 species